rnacentral:rRNA from 1 species
UACGAAGGGGGCGAGCGUUGUUCGGAAUUACUGGGCGUAAAGGGCGCGCAGGCGGCUCUGAAAGUCAGAUGUGAAAGCCCCGGGCUUAACCUGGGAACUGCAUUUGAUACUCUAGAGCUUGAGUACGGGAGAGGAGAGUGGAAUUCCCAGUGUAGAGGUGAAAUUCGUAGAUAUAUGGAAGAACACCAAUAACGGCGAAGGCAGUUAACUAUUCUGCUACUGACAUUGAGGCACGAAAGCGUGGGGAGCAAAACGG